UUACAAUUGGCCUUUAUUAAUAGAUUGGAAGAUUCGUACGGAACUGGAUUCCCAUCCAUAAGGGGGCUUCGAGGUCAGAAGGCCCGUUAUCUUCGAGAUGUUUCCCGGUGGGCAAAUGACAAAGAUGCAGAACUGUUA